CACGUAGGGUGCGAGCGUUGUCCGGAAUUAUUGGGCGUAAAGAGCUCGUAGGCGGUGUGUCGCGUCGGCCGUGAAAACCUGCAGCUUAACUGUGGGCUUGCGGUCGAUACGGGCAUCACUGGAGUUCGGCAGGGGAAACUGGAAUUCCUGGUGUAGCGGUGAAAUGCGCAGAUAUCAGGAGGAACACCGGUGGCGAAGGCGGGUCUCUGGGCCGUAACUGACGCUGAGGAGCGAAAGCGUGGGGAGCGAACAGG
rnacentral:rRNA from 1 species